UUUCCUCUUCCCCCUCCCCUUCCCCUUCCCAUAGGAAAGGAAGAAGAUACCCCAUAGGACCCUAUAGGACCCCAUAAGCCCCAUAGGACCCCAUAAGACCCCAUAGGACCCCAUAAACCCCAUAGGAAUCAAUAGGACCCCAUCAGACCCCAUAGGACCUCAUAAGACCCCAUAAACCCCAUAGGAAUCAAUAGGAAGCAAUAGGACCCCAUAAGACUCCAUAGGACCCCAUAAGACCCCAUAGGACCUCAUAAGACCCCAUAAACCCCAUAGGAAUCAAUAGGAAGCAAUAGGACCCCAUAAGACUCCUUAGGACCCCAUAGGAUCCCAUAAGACCCCAGAAGACACCAUAGCACGCCAUAAGACCCCAUAGGACCCCAUAGGAACCAAUAGGACACCAUAGCACACCGUAAGACCCCAUAGGACCCCAUAGGACCUCAUAAGACCCCAUAAACCCCAUAGGAAUCAAUAGGAAGCAAUAGGACCCCAUAAGACCCCAUAGGACCCUAUAGGACCCCAUAAGCCCAUAAGUCCAUUUCCUCUCCCCUCCCGCUUUCUUUUCCCCUUCCAUUUCCUCUCCCCUCUAUACCCCCCCCACUUCCUCUUCCCCUCCCCUUCCUCCCUUCCCCCUCUUACUUCCUCUCCUCUCCCCUCCCACUUCCUCCCCACUUCCUCCCCACUUCCCCCCCACACAUCCUCUUCCCUCCCACUUUGUCUUUUCCUUCCUCUUCCUCUUCCUCUUCCUCUUCCUCUUCCUCUUCCUCUUCCUCUUCCUCUUCCUCUUCCUUCUUCCCUUCCCCCUCUUAUUCCCCUCCCUUUUCCCAUUCCCUUCCUCUUCCUCCCCACUUCCUCUUCCCCUUCCCCUCCCACUUCCUCUUCCUCCCUCCCUUCCUCUUCCUCCUCCCCACUUCCACUUCCUCCUCACUUCCUCCCCCACUUCUUCUCCCCCUAUAUCCCCCCACUUCCUCUUCCCCCUAUAUUUCCCCCCUGAUAUCCCUCUACAUGUCGCUCUUUCCCCCCUUAUUUCCCCCCUAUAUCCCCCCUACUUCCUCUUCCCCCCUUAUUUCCCCCCUAUAUCCCCCCCUAUUUCCUCUCCCCUACUUUUUUCCCCCCCACUUCCUCCCCCCACCCCAUAUCCCCCCCAUCCACUUACCUCCGACAUCCCCAUCCUAUACACGAACCGGAGCCGUCCUUUGUCCCCCUCCACCUCAUUAACCACCUUGUUAACACGCAACUCGUUAAUCGCCUUCCUAUUGAUGACGCUCAAGCUUCCCAGCCCCACGGCGGUCAUAAUGGAGCUGGCCAACAGGCAGAGGCCGAACAGCUUCCAUAGGGAUCUCCUGCCCCACUCGGGCGCCAUCUUGGAUAUGGGGGGGAGGGGAGAAAGGGGGGGUUACAUAGGCCGAACCGGGCCGAAGUGGGCCAAGUUAGGCCUAGUUAGGCCAAGGUAGGCCAAGGUAGGCCAUGCUAGGCCUAGUUAGGCCUAGUUAGGCCAAGCUAGGCCAAGGUAGGCCAUGCUAGGCCCAAGAUGGCCAUGCUAGGCCAAUCCAAUCCAAUCCAGGCCUAGGUAGGCCAAGUUAGGCCCAAGAUGGCCGUGCUAGGCCAAUCCAAUCCAAUCCAAUCCAAUCCAGGCCUAGGUAGGCCAAGUAGGCCCAAGAUGGCCGUGCUAGGCCAAUCCAAUCCAAUCCAAUCCAAUCCAAGCCAAGGUUGGCCAUGAUAGGCCUAGGUAGGCCUAGGUAGGCCUCGCUAGGACUCACUAGGCCUUACUAGGUCUCACUAGUAAGACCCCAUAGAAACCCAUAUGACCUCAUACAACCCAUAAGUCCCUAUAAGACCCCAUAGGACCCCAUAAGACCCCAUAGGAUCCCAUAGGACCCCAUAAGACCCCAUAGAGACCCCAUAGAACAACCCAUUAGGACCCCAUAACGCUCUCCUCCUCCCAUUAGAGACCCGGCCCAAGUGGUGGAGAGGCGACGUGAACGCGGCCACCAUCUCAUGGACAGGGCUGAUCUUCCGUGAGGCUAUUCUCUUUAGAGUUGUCAACCCUUAGGGAACAACGUCGCCUCUCACUUGGGCGCGGUCAACCUUCUAGAGGCGCCUAACCCUCGUUAAAUCCUUACCUCUUUAUGGUGUCCAUCUUUUCCCUUCCGGGACCCGACGGGUUCCUCGGGUCCCAUUUUCUCGGGGAAGGGGGCCUCAUUGUUCCAUUUUCUUAGCCACUUCUAAUUUGAGGGUUAUUCUUAAAAGCUUUUUAAUUUGGGGGGGGGGUUUAAAAAUUUUUAAAUGUUGUGUGUGUGUGUGUUUGGUAUGAUUCUUUUUUUUGCGUUUUUGUGUUGUUUUUUUUUUUUUCCUGUGUUUGUUUUUUUAUUAAUAUAUUUUAUAAAUCUUUUUUAUUUUCCUUGGGUGUCCU
rnacentral:lncRNA from 1 species